UAUCAAACCCGUAUAAUAUACUAUGACGAAUAAAUUUUUAGUUUUCCUUAGAGUUUUCCCUGUGUUAUCAUUGUCCAAAAUAACUGAAACCGUAAAUUAUAUCAUAAUUAUAUUUAUUGCAAAAGAGUAUAGAUGUUUUCGGACCAAUUUUAUAUUUAAAUAAGUUAUUAGGAAUAUUUAAAAACAAGUGCGCUUCACGGUUUCUGAAAUGGCGACGCCUCAAUGGAAUGCAACAGCACCAUCGCCCCCAUCUUAUCCGGAGACUAUACAGUCCAGUGCUAAUAUGUCUGGAGCGAUUGCAAGAAAUCGGAUCGUCCACCCUGCACCUGUGAAUAUCCCACCACUGGGUCCAAAAAGGUGCAAUAUCAAAUGCCCCUUUUGCAAUAUUCAGGUGAUCACGGCUAUAUCUCAUACUACAACUACUAGAACUCAUACUUGCGCGCUUAGAAGCCUUUGCUGUUGCUGUAUACCGUACUGCAUGAAUUCAACAAGAAACACCGAUCAUUACUGUACAUCUUGCCACGCGUUUCUUGGUACCUACGAAAAGUAGCUACAUACAAUAUAUUCAUCAUUCAAUUUGGCUAAUACGUCACUUAGUGUAUAAAAAGCGCAGACUAUGUUUGUAAUCUACUAAUAUCUUGAUACUGUCAAAUAUAUUGUUUUAAAAUUUCA